rnacentral:lncRNA from 1 species
UGAAAUUGACUUUAGAAAACAUUACAAAAUUUGACAAAAUUAAAAAAGAAAAAGACGAGUUGUUCAAGCCGUAGAAACGGUCUCUUGCCGCGUACGAUAGAUUCUUAGCUUGUAGUCCGGCACUUUUCCGAACCCCGUGAAUAACAGAAGCUUAGUGCAUCGGGUUGCCCUUACGGGUCUAACAGACGGAAGGAAGUGGUGGGCGAUGGCGAAGAUCAACCAAACUUGG